rnacentral:rRNA from 1 species
AUUGAACGCUGGCGGCAGGCUUAACACAUGCAAGUCGAGCGGAGAUGAGGUGCUUGCACCUUAUCUUAGCGGCGGACGGGUGAGUAAUGCUUAGGAAUCUGCCUAUUAGUGGGGGACAACAUUCCGAAAGGAAUGCUAAUACCGCAUACGUCCUACGGGAGAAAGCAGGGGAUCUUCGGACCUUGCGCUAAUAGAUGAGCCUAAGUCGGAUUAGCUAGUUGGUGGGGUAAAGGCCUACCAAGGCGACGAUCUGUAGCGGGUCUGAGAGGAUGAUCCGCCACACUGGGACUGAGACACGGCCCAGACUCCUACGGGAGGAAGCAGUGGGGAAGAUUGGACAAUGGGGGGAACCCUGAUCCAGCCAUGCCGCGUGUGUGAAGAAGGCCUUAUGGUUGUAAAGCACUGUAAGCGAGGAGGAGGCUACUGAGACUAAUACUCUUGGAUAGUGGACGUUACUCGCAGAAUAAGCACCGGCUAACUCUGUGCCAGCCGCCGCGGUAA